CCGAAAGGACGCCAGCGCAAAAAGCGCUACCGGUGAAAAAAUAUGAUUUAUAGCGUGAAAAAUGUGGAAACACACGCAAAAAGGGAGAACGGUGAAAGCGUGGCGUUUCCACUAGACAAAUUUAUUAAUCCUAUCGGCCGACCGCUUUUAUUUGUGUGUUGUAUCGGCUUUUUAUUUCUGUGCCUUUUAGUGUCGUAGUUUUACACCUGUUACGACGACGACGCAGCAUCUCCUGCAAGAAAAAGAAAAAAAAACUAUAUUAAUAUUCAAUACAAUAAAGGAACACCAUAUAAGUGAAAACAAGGGAAGGGUAAAUAAAACCUAUAGGCAGAACGCAUUAAGGUAUUCGGGCAAGACGCCAUUGUUGUCAUAUCGUGGAUAAACUAUGACAUUAAUCAAUGGAGGACAACAAUAGUACCGCUCACCUCAAACUGAACUCGUCUCACCAACAUAACCUGAACUUCGAUGAAACCAACAAAGUUCUGAACUUUCAUACUCGGGUGGGUUCAAGCAAUAUCGGUUAAGCAUAUCGAGUGAAUACAUCUACAUAAUGUGGGCAACAGCAUAACACUAGAUAACGGUUAUUGUGACGACAAUUCGAUUCAACCCACGUGGUUAUUGGAAGUUCAAGAAAUAUAUGCUUUUGUAUAUAAGAAUAAUAUUUAUUUAAUUCAAUAGAUAUAGCUAUUUUUUUUCACUAAUUUUAUUACUUAAAUUCUGCCUAAUUUAUGAGUGUCUACAGCUAACAUAUGUUUGCAAAGAGAAUAUUAUAAAUAUUUCUAUGAAAUACUAAAUCGAGUUGUCAAAGAAACAAAGGAGCGGUCGGCGCCGGCGUCGCUUGCAGUAUUUAACGAUAUGUCUGCUACCGACAACCUUCCCAAAAAUAUUGUUUCUCAUUAAAGUAAGUAUCUGGAUAAUCGACAGAAGCUGUGCUGCAAAAACAUGAGAAGAAUCACCUAAUUAUUUAGUACAAGAUGCAAAAUGUCACUUUUGUUUGUAAAUUCAUACUUCAGUUUAUGGAAAUUCCAAAAAAUAUCUUACUCAAAUAAAUAAUGUAACAUUUUUC